UACGAAGGGGGCUAGCGUUGCUCGGAAUGACUGGGCGUAAAGGGCGCGUAGGCGGAUCUCACAGUCAGGCGUGAAAUUCCUGGGCUUAACCUGGGGGCUGCGUUUGAGACGUGGGGUCUUGAGUGGGGAAGAGGGUCGUGGAAUUCCCAGUGUAGAGGUGAAAUUCGUAGAUAUUGGGAAGAACACCGGUGGCGAAGGCGGCGACCUGGUCCUUGACUGACGCUGAGGCGCGAAAGCGUGGGGAGCAAACAGG
rnacentral:rRNA from 1 species